CCUGCUUAGUGACAGACAGUUCUGCCUCUGCAGGCAUCAUUUUGGCUCCUGACCGCAAUGUGUGGGGAAAUCUGGCUGCUUCUGGCAGGCACUUGCCUCGGCCUGUCGGUGCCCAGCAGAGCUGCUGUCUAUGUGGCCUCUUGAGUCCCCGGAACUCUGACCCGGCCAGGGUCCAGCAGGAGCACUGGUCACACUAAGUGUUUCCACAGAGGGGACUUGAUGAGGGCAUUGGGUUCAGGAGCUGCGGCUGCCCGCAGGGCACGAGGGUACCUGAGGGUAGCCCAGGGCUGGU
rnacentral:lncRNA from 1 species